GACGAACGCUGGCGGCGUGCUUAACACAUGCAAGUCGAACGGAAAGGCCCUGCUUUUGUGGGGUGCUCGAGUGGCGAACGGGUGAGUAUCACGUGAGUAACCUGCCCUUGACUUUGGGAUAACUUCAGGAAACUGGGGCUAAUACCGGAUAGGAGCUCCUGCUGCAUGGUGGGGGUUGGAAAGUUUCGGCGGUUGGGGAUGGACUCGCGGCUUAUCAGCUUGUUGGUGGGGUAGUGGCUUACGAAGGCUUUGACGGGUAGCCGGCCUGAGAGGGUGACCGGGGACAUUGGGACUGCGGUACGGAGCAGACGCGUACGGGAGGCAGCAGUGGGGAGUAUUGCAGAAUGGGGCGGCGCGAGAUGCAACAACGCCGCGAGCGGAAUAACGGCCUUCGGGUUGUAAACCGCUUUCGAAUGUAACGAAGCGUGCGUGACGGUAAUUGGUAAAGAAGCACCGGCUAACUACGUG
rnacentral:rRNA from 1 species